rnacentral:piRNA from 1 species
UGAACAAGGAUGCUACCGGUUUAGGGAGU